GGACUGACAGAGCCCCGGGGCUGACCCGGCUGCUGCGUUCUGAGAGGGCCCCGGGGUCCUGAGAGGCCUCUGGUGGCCCUGUCAGUGACAGGAAAAUCCCUGUUCCCGCUUUUCCCAACAUUUGGUGUGUUUCUCACUCCCCUCCCCCGUGUUCCUGCACACCCAAAAUCCUGCUGCUGGCAGGUUGGGGGGGUGUUGUUCCUGGUUUUGCUCUGGAAAGCCAGGUCUGAGGGAUGUGUUUGCUCCUGGGCUGGUUGAGUUUCCUUCCCCUCUCCCUUAAACCUCUCUCCUCUCUUCAGAAGCCACAGCCACAGGUGACCCCAGGGGCUCCUCAGUGCUGGGAACACUCCCCAGCUGGGAUCUUACAGAUGGGAAGAAUUGGACUGGGAAAGCUCCAGUGGGAUCUUUACAAGACUUGACACCAAUGGGUUUCUCAAACACUACGUUUUGCAGGGUUUUGUCUUUUUUUUCUUUUUUUUUUUUUUCCCUUUAAGGAAACAAUCAGACCCCAAACCACCAAUGUGUGCACACAACCCCCACGUCCUCCUCAAGGUGCUUUGUCCUCAGCUCCCUGUAAGUCCUCUGAAGAACAUCACAGGGCUUUAUUUUUAAUUUUUUUUUAAUUCUCUACUAUUUAAAACCUUUCUUUUUGCUCCCCCCCCCCAAAAAAAAACCAACUCCCCUCUUUCCAGGGUAACUAAAAAGGGAGGUUAAAAAGACUCUGGGAGCACACAGCUCCACACCCUUGGAGUUUCUUUAAAUACACACUGCAAAAAUAUUUCUAACUCUUUCCCUUCUAUUGAUACUGUACAUACAAAGCUGUCAGAGGUUUUUUUUUGCUACAUUUCACUCACAGGUUUGCUGUUUUUUUGUCUCAUCCCAUUAAUUCUUCACCCUCCUUUCAGACCACGAGCCCAUCCCAACCUGGCACUUGGCUCCUUUUCCAGCUCUGUCUUCAAGAAAGGAUUGUGUGCUAGUAAGGCAAAAACUCAUGUGGCACAAACACAUCCUGGAUCCCUUUUUUUUUUUUAUAAUUAUGUGCAAAUAAUAAGCCAGCUCAGGCUGCUGAUUGUGAAAACUGCUUUUCUUAGGUGCUUCUUCCUCAGAAAACUCCGAGUGCACUCACUGGUACCUGAAGCUCCUGGCCCACAACCAGGAGAGCCCCAAAACUUCAGGAAUCAUUAGGAAACAGGGGAGCUUUUACAUUCAUUACAGACCCCAACAGUUCAAUGGUUCAAUGGCAAGUACAGACACAAAACCACACACUCACCAAAAAAAAAAAUAAAAUAAA